rnacentral:rRNA from 1 species
UCGGUACGAGAUGGGCCCGCGGCCUAUCAGCUUGUUGGUGGGGUAAUGGCCUACCAAGGCGACGACGGGUAGCCGGCCUGAGAGGGUGACCGGCCACACUGGGACUGAGACACGGCCCAGACUCCUACGGGAGGCAGCAGUGGGGAAUAUUGCACAAUGGGCGAAAGCCUGAUGCAGCGACGCCGCGUGAGGGAUGACGGCCUUCGGGUUGUAAACCUCUGUCGACAGGGACGAAGCGCAAGUGACGGUACCUGUCGAAAAAGCACCGGCCAACUACGUGCCAGCAGCCGCGGUAAUACGUAGGGUGCGAGCGUUGUCCGGAAUUACUGGGCGUAAAGCGCUUGUAGGCGGUUCCUCGCGUCGUUCGUGAAAGCUUGGGGCUCAACCCCAAGCUUGCGGGCGAUACGGGCGGACUAGAGUACUUCAGGGGAGACUGGAAUUCCUGGUGUAGCGGUGAAAUGCGCAGAUAUCAGGAGGAACACCGGUGGCGAAGGCGGGUCUCUGGGAAGUAACUGACGCUGAGAAGCGAAAGCGUGGGUAGCGAACAGGAUUAGAUACCCUGGUAGUCCACGCCGUAAACGGUGGGUACUAGGUGUGGGUUUCCUUCCACGGGAUCCGUGCCGUAGCUAACGCAUUAAGUACCCCGCCUGGGGAGUACGGCCGCAAGGCUGAAACUCAAAGGAAUUGACGGGGGCCCGCACAAGCGGCGGAGCAUGUGGAUUAAUUCGAUGCAACGCGAAGAACCUUACCUGGGUUUGACAUACA